rnacentral:lncRNA from 1 species
UGUCCCACGUGGGGUUCGCAGUCUAAGGGAGAGGGGGAAUGGAUUAUGUUAUCCCUGUUUUAGGAGGAAAAUGAGACCCAGAGACGUUAAACAACUUGCCCAAGAUCCUGCAGCUGACAAGUGGUGGAGCCGGGAUGGGAACCUCUGAUUCCCAGGCCGGGGCUCUUGCCACUAGGCUGCACUGCUUCGUGCUGCUGCGGCUUUGGAAAGGUCCGGUCCACACUUGGAAGCAUGACAACUGCACGGGAGCCUGAAGACACGACCAUUGGCAGCUCGGCGUAGAGAAAGCGAACCCUCUGUUCCUCCCGCUCCCGGAAGAAAGAGGCAGCGAUCUUGUGGCACAGGCGGUGCGCGUAGGCCUCCAGGAAGACGGUGGCGUAGACGAAGCAGUGGAGGGCCGCGAUGGCCAGGGUGACCGCGUGGCUCGGCGGCUCGGGCCCCGGCAGCGGGCAGCUGGACGAGGUCGCCCUCAGCUCCCACCGGUAGCUGUCCCGGGACGACACGCUGGGGCCUCCCCAGGACCCCUGGUUGAGGAUGAGCGGGAUGAAGGAGAGGACGCUGAACGAGGCCUGGGUGGGGAGAGAGGAGACAGAGAGAGAAUCGAGGACUGGAUCCAGGGUGGUGUCAUUCAUUUAGUCAUUCAGUAGUAUUUACUGAGCACUUACUGGGUGCAAAGCACUGUACUAAGCACUUGGGACAGCACAAUAUAAGGACAAAUAGACACAUCGCUGCGCACAGCGAGCUCACGGUCUAGAGGGCCUUCAUGUGAAAGUGCUCUCCAAAAUCCCAAGGUGAGAAGCAGGGUGGCUCAGUGGAAAGAGCAUGGGCUUUGGAGUCAGAGGUCAUGAGUUCGAAUCCCAGCUUUGCCACUUGUCAGCCGGGUGACUGUGGGCAAGUCACUUAACGUCUCUGGGCCUCAGUUACCUCAUCUGUAAAAUGGGGAUUAAGACUGUGAGCCCCAUGUGGGACAACCUGAUUCCCCCGUGUCUCCCCCAGCGCUUAGAACAGUGCUCUGCACAUAGUAAGCGCUUAACAAAUACCAACAUUAUUAACCCAUUUUUAGAUUGUAAACCCCUUAAGGGCAGGGAACAUGUGU